rnacentral:rRNA from 1 species
GACGAACGCUGGCGGCGUGCCUAACACAUGCAAGUCGAGCGAUGAAGCCCUUCGGGGUGAAUUAGCGGCGGACGGGUGAGUAACACGUAGGUAACCUGCCUGUAAGAUCGGGAUAACUAUCGGAAACGGUAGCUAAUACCGGAUAACUUGUUUCUUCGCAUGAGGAGACACUGAAAGGCGGAGCAAUCUGCCACUUACGGAUGGACCUGCGGCGCAUUAGCUAGUUGGUGAGGUAAUGGCUCACCAAGGCGACGAUGCGUAGCCGACCUGAGAGGGUGAACGGCCACACUGGGACUGAGACACGGCCCAGACUCCUACGGGAGGCUG